GGGGAGUAUGCAAAAUCCUCCCUGAGACUAUGACAUGCUGCACAUACAUUCCAGACAACACUGGGCCCAAUGGUAAGGUGACAAUGGCCAUAGAGAAGCUAGAUAGUCUUUCAAACGAGCUAAAGAAGAAUUCAGGAGUCAUUGACACGUGGGACAGAUGGUUUGGGUGGAUGAAUGGUUGGCAAAGGACCCUCUUCCAGGUAGGAACAGCUGUUCUUAUAAUGAUCAUCAUCUUCUUAUUUUUAACCUGUUGCAUACUCCCUUGCAUACAGAAGUACUUACAGAAAGCGGUAGAUAAGACUAUAGAUGACGUGACCCCUACUUUCCUACAUCAAGAUAUCACAGACCUCGAAGAU